rfam:Aedes albopictus isolate Foshan contig106862, whole genome shotgun sequence.
UAGCCUAGUGGUUAAGGCUAUGGGUCGCCAAUCCGGAGACGGCGGGUUCGAUUCCCGU